AAAUAUCAGAGAAACAUGCUCGGCUAAAAAAGGCGGACGGAGUCCCAACUCCCACCAUACACAAAACUGCGUCGUUCAGAGUCGGCCAGCUGGCUGUAUGUACCCGGACCGCACGCACACAUUCUAGCGCUAGUCCAUACCAUUUGACAGGCGUAAGAAUGUGUGCGUGGCCGACUCUGAAGAAAUGAGAAGACACACAGUUUUGUAUACAUAACAAGACUCCGUCCGCCUUUUUUUCUACGU